GAUCAUGGCUCAGGAUGAACGCUGGCGGCGUGCUUAACACAUGCAAGUCGAACGAAGCCAAAAGGAAGCUUGCUUUCUUGAAGCUUAGUGGCGGACGGGUGAGUAACGCGUGAGGAACCUGCCCUUCAGUGGGGAAUAACAGCCGGAAACGACUGCUAAUACCGCAUAGCGUCAUCGGACCGCAUGAUCUGGUGACCAAAGGAUUUAUUCGCUGAAGGAUGGCCUCGCGUCCGAUUAGGCAGUUGGUGAGGUAACGGCCCACCAAACCUACGAUCGGUAGCCGAACUGAGAGGUUGAUCGGCCACAUUGGGACUGAGACACGGCCCAGACUCCUACGGGAGGCAGCAGCGGGGAAUAUUGGGCAAUGGGCGAAAGCCCUGACCCAGCAACGCCGCGUGAAGGAUGACGGUCUUCGGAUUGUAAACUUCUUUGAUUGGGGAAGAACAAAAUGACCUACCCAAAGAACAAGUCACGGCUAACUACGUGCCAGCCGCCGC
rnacentral:rRNA from 1 species